GAUGAACGCUGGCGGCGUGCCUAAUACAUGCAAGUCGAGCGAACAGACGAUGAGCUUGCUCCUCUGACGUUAGCGGCGGACGGGUGAGUAACACGUGGAUAACCUACCUAUAAGACUGGGAUAACUUCGGGAAACCGGAGCUAAUACCGGAUAAUAUAUUGAACCGCAUGGUUCAAUAGUGAAAGACGGUUUUGCUGUCACUUAUAGAUGGAUCCGCGCCGCAUUAGCUAGUUGGUAAGGUAACGGCUUACCAAGGCGACGAUGCGUAGCCGACCUGAGAGGGUGAUCGGCCACACUGGAACUGAGACACGGUCCAGACUCCUACGGGAGGCAGCAGUAGGGAAUCUUCCGCAAUGGGCGAAAGCCUGACGGAGCAACGCCGCGUGCGUGAUGAAGGUCUUCGGAUCGUAAAACUCUGUUAUUAGGGAAGAACAAAUGUGUAAGUAACUAUGCACGUCUUGACGGUACCUAAUCAGAAAGCCACGGCUAACUACGUG
rnacentral:rRNA from 1 species